UAGCUAGUUGGUGAGGUAAAGGCUUACCAAGGCGACGAUCUGUAGCGGGUCUGAGAGGAUGAUCCGCCACACUGGAACUGAGACACGGUCCAGACUCCUACGGGAGGCAGCAGUGGGGAAUUUUGGACAAUGGGCGCAAGCCUGAUCCAGCCAUGCCGCGUGCGGGAAGAAGGCCUUCGGGUUGUAAAGCUCUUUCGGCCGGGAAGAAAUCGCAUGGGCCAAUACCCUGUGUGGAUGACGGUACCGGAAUAAGAAGCACCGGCUAACUACGUGCCAGCAGCCGCGGUAAUACGUAGGGUGCGAGCGUUAAUCGGAAUUACUGGGCGUAAAGCGUGCGCAGGCGGUUUUGUAAGACAGGCGUGAAAUCCCCGGGCUUAACCUGGGAACUGCGUUUGUGACUGCAAGGCUAGAGUACGGCAGAGGGGGGUGGAAUUCCACGUGUAGCAGUGAAAUGCGUAGAGAUGUGGAGGAACACCAAUGGCGAAGGCAGCCCCCUGGGUCGAUACUGACGCUCAUGCACGAAAGCGUGGGUAGCAAACAGGAUUAGAUACCCUGGUAGUCCACGCCCUAAACUAUGUCAACUAGGUGUUGGGUGGGUAAAACCAUUUAGUACCGUAGCUAACGCGUGAAGUUGACCGCCUGGGGAGUACGGCCGCAAGGUUAAAACUCAAAGGAAUUGACGGGGACCCGCACAAGCGGUGGAUGAUGUGGAUUAAUUCGAUGCAACGCGAAAAACCUUACCUACCCUUGACAUGCCAGGAACUUGCCAGAGAUGGCUUGGUGCCCGAAAGGGAGCCUGGACACAGGUGCUGCAUGGCUGUCGUCAGCUCGUGUCGUGAGAUGUUGGGUUAAGUCCCGCAACGAGCGCAACCCUUGUCGUUAAUUGCCAUCAUUUAGUUGGGCACUUUAACGAGACUGCCGGUGACAAACCGGAGGAAGGUGGGGAUGACGUCAAGUCCUCAUGGCCCUUAUGGGUAGGGCUUCACACGUCAUACAAUGGUCGGUACAAAGGGUUGCCAAGCCGCGAGGCGGAGCCAAUCCCAGAAAGCCGAUCGUAGUCCGGAUUGCAGGCUGCAACUCGCCUGCAUGAAGUCGGAAUCGCUAGUAAUCGUGGAUCAGCAUGUCACGGUGAAUACGUUCCCGGGUCUUGUACACACCGCCCGUCACACCAUGUGAGCGGGUUCCGCCAGAAGUAGGUAGCCUAACCGCAAGGGGGGCGCUUACCACGGCGGGGUUCGUGACUGGGGUGAAGUCGUAACAAGGUAGCCGUAGGGGAACCUGCGGCUG
rnacentral:rRNA from 1 species